rnacentral:misc_RNA from 1 species
GAUGAAGAACGCAGCGAAAUGCGAUACGUAAUGUGAAUUGCAGAAUUCAGUGAAUCAUCGAGUCUUUGAACGCACAUUGCGCCCCCUGGUAUUCCGGGGGGCAUGCCUGUCCGAGCGUCAUUGCUGCCCUCAAGCACGGCUUGUGUGUUGGGCCUCCGUCCUCCUCCCGGGGGACGGGCCCUAAAGGCAGCGGCGGCACCGCGUCCGGUCCUCGAGCGUAUGGGGCUUCGUCACCCGCUCUUGUAGGCCCGGCCGGCGCUUGCCGACACAUCAAUCUUUUUUCCAGGUUGACCUCGGAUCAGGUAGGGAUACCCGCUGAACUUAAGCAUAUCAAUAAGCGGAGGA